GGACAGGGUGGGCUAGGAGAGGUGCUGCUGCCGCUGCCGCCGGUGGUGGCACCGGGAGGGCACCGGCCAUGGACGCCACCACGCUGGAGCUGGACGCGGUGAAGUUCGCGCAGCUGGCGGUGCAGCGGGACCAGAGCGGGCGCUACCAGGAAGCGGUCUUCUACUACAAGGAAGCCGCACAAGCCUUGAUUUAUGCUGGGAUGGCUGGGUCAAACUUGGAAAAUAUUCAAGAAAAAAUAAAUGAGUACUUGGAGAGAGUUCAAGCUCUCCAUUCAGCAGUUCAGUCACAGAAAACAGACCCUCUGAAGUCAAAACAACAGUUGGACUUGGAGCGUGCUCACUUCCUAGUUACACAGGCUUUUGAUGAAGAUGAUAAAGGCAAUGCAGAAGAAGCUAUAGAGUUGUACACAGAAGCCGUGGAACUCUGUUUGAAAACAGCUACUGAAACUUCAGAAGCAGGCCUCCAGUCCAAACUGAAACAGCUGGCUCGACAAGCGCUGGAUAGAGCAGAGGCACUGAAGGAAUCUAUGUCAAAGUCAUCUCAGAAAGAAAAGUCAACUGCAGCUAAACCAAAUCAGCCAGUGAGAACGUUCUUCCCAUUAGGACCUGAUUUUUCUUUAAAUGAUAAACCACAGACAAUCAGAGCAGUACAAGCUAGUGAACCUCAAGGUCAGAGAUACACUGCAGAGGAGAUUGAAGUGCUCAGGAAGACUUCAAAAAUUAAUGGCAUUGAAUAUGUACCUUUCAUGAGUGUGGAUCUGAGGGAACGUUUUGCUUUCCCUAUGCCUUUUUCUGAUAAAUGCGGGAAGUUACCAUUAUCCCCCAAACAGAAAGCAAUGUUUGCCAAGUGGGUGCGACCAGAUGACAUAACAAAUAACCCUACCAUGAUCUACACUGUAUCAAGUUUCAGCAUAAAGCAGACAAUAGUGUCAGAUUGCUCUUUUGUGGCAUCACUAGCUAUCAGUGCAGCAUAUGAAAGAAGAUAUAACAAAAAAUUGAUCACGAGUAUAAUUUACCCUCAGAAUAAGAAAGGGGAGCCAGAGUAUAAUCCAUGUGGUAAAUACAUGGUGAAGCUUCAUAUCAAUGGUGUACCUAGAAAGGUAAUCAUAGAUGACCAGUUACCUGUUGAUCAUAGUGGGGAACUUCUCUGCUCUUAUUCUAAUAAUAAGAAUGAAUUAUGGGUGUCUCUAAUAGAAAAGGCUUACAUGAAGGUCAUGGGAGGAUAUGAUUUUCCUGGAUCAAAUUCUAAUAUUGAUCUCCAUGCACUGACUGGUUGGAUACCUGAAAGAAUUGCUAUGCACUCUGACAAUCAAGCUUUCAAUAAAGACAGUACUUUCAGAAUGCUUUAUCAGAGAUUUCACAAGGGAGAUGUCCUUAUUACCACAGCAACAGGGGUGAUGUCUGAAGAGGAAGGAGAAAAAUGGGGUUUAGUUCCAACCCAUGCAUAUGCAGUCUUGGACAUAAGAGAAUAUAAGGGACUUAGAUUUCUUCAGUUGAAAAAUCCCUGGAGCCACUUACGUUGGAAGGGACGAUACAGUGAAAAUGACAUAAGAAAUUGGACCCCAGAUUUACAAAAAUACUUGAACUUUGAUCCAAGAACAGCUCAGAAAAUAGAUAACGGCAUUUUCUGGAUUUCCUGGGAGGACCUGUGCCAGUACUAUGAUGUUAUUUAUUUGAGUUGGAACCCAAGUCUUUUCAAAGAAUCUACAUGUAUUCACAGUACCUGGGAUGCAAAGCAAGGCCCGGUGAAGGAUGCCUACAGCCUGGCCAACAAUCCUCAGUACAAGCUGGAAGUGCAGUGUCCACAGGGUGGUGCUGCCGUCUGGGUCCUGCUCAGCAGGCACAUCACUGACAAGGAUGACUUUGCACACAAUCGGGAAUUCAUUACAAUGGUUGUGUACAAGACUGAUGGCAAAAAAGUUUACUAUCCAGCUGAUCCUCCUCCAUAUAUCGAUGGUAUUCGGAUCAACAGUCCUCAUUACCUGACUAAGAUAAAGUUGACCUCUCCAGGGCCCCAUACAUUUACCUUAGUGGUGUCCCAGUAUGAGAAACAAAACACUAUCCAUUACACCAUCAGGGUGUACUCCUUGUGCAAGUUCACCUUUUCCAAGAUUCCUACACCUUACACCAUUUCCAAGCGGGUUAAUGGACAGUGGAAAGGUCACAGUGCCGGAGGAUGUGGAAACUUCAGAGACACCUACAAAAAUAACCCCAUUUAUCAAAUCCAGCUAGACAAGAAUGGACCAUUGCUAAUUGAACUACGGGGACCGAGGCAAUACAGCGUUGGCUUUGAACUCGUCACCGUCUCAACAGUAGGAGAUGCUGGUUCCUGUGGCUUUCACAAAAAGAGCAGUGGUGACUACAGGUGUGGAUUUUGCUACUUGGAAGUGGAGAACAUACUUGCUGGAGUUUACAACAUUAUCCCCACCACAUUCCUGCCUCAACAAGAGGGUCCUUUUUUCUUAGAUUUUAACAGUACUACUCCUCUUAAGGUGUCCCAGCUGCAGUGAGGAGACAUAUCUGUGCAGUACUGUUUAAGGAAGUGGUUUUGAUCUGUCCUACAGGCUGAGAACAGCUGCCAGACCUAGCUUGAUCCUGAUCAGCAGUAAGGACAGGGGGUUAUCCAGCAGCAGCAUACGGAGAAUGCGGCAUAGACUUCCUUGAGCAGGUGUGAAAGAUUUUCAUCUGAAGAUCCCCACAGUCUCAGUUGCUGGUGGGGAGAUGGGAAACUGCCCACCAUCAGAAACCCAGCAAAGAAAUGUUUUAUUUUCAUCACUUUUAUAAGUACUCAGCCUAUAGGGAAGGAUUAGUUAAGCCUCUCCUGCUAAUAAACCACAGCUGCAGGGAAUGCACUUGCUGAUUCCAUUAUACCAGACAUCUUUGAAAAGGUACUUUUUUCCUUGUAAGUUGAAACCAGUGGAUGAAUUGAGCACUUGGCCACUGUCAUCAACAAAAGCAGGGUUAGAGUUUCUAAGAAAAUAGUGGAAGUGGGAUUAAUGCAGAAUGAGAUUUUUCUAGAAGCCUCCUAUAUGAGCUCCUCCUCUAGAUCUGUAUACAUUGUAUCUAAAGAGGAUUCAAGAUAACCAAAUUUUCAAUUUAAUACCAACUGCCUCAGAUCCUGAAAUGCAUUAAAUUUUGUCUUUUUUACAAAAUGUAUAAUAUUUGACAGCUGGGGGGGAGGAUGUUUUUAAAACAGCCACGGGAAUUUUGCUGCCAUUCACAUUAGUUUGCCAGUUUUCCAAUCAAAACAGGUAGCAUUUAAAUCUUGCUUUAGAGCACAGGUGUCACUUGGCCAUUGGGAAACUGAGCACACAUUCUACAGGAGCACCAGAAAUAUCUGUGGGCUAAAAUUACUCCCACAGAGGUCUGCUAUUAGUCCUCUCCAGAAAGUACAAGAUUCUUUUGUUUCGUUUCCUUCAUCAGACAGCUGCUUAACAAGUGUCUAGUGCUGAAAGGGCACUGAUAGCUCAUGCCUUUGAAAAUAUGUCCUGCUGACUGCAGUUCUCUCAAAGGCCAUCUGGGAUAGGAAAUUUGGGACAGGUUUGUCACAGCGUGACUUACCUUCUUUUGCAGGGAAGUUUCUGCAUGGGCACAAGCUGAGCAAAGAAAUAGAUUACGUUCAUUGUAGUUACCCCCUGGCUUCUGGAGUAUAGGUCAAGGACAGCUUCAUCCCUACAAAAUGAAAAUUUCAUUCAGCUCACAUUUUCCCUACAGAUUUCUGUGAAGUUUUUAGCUCACGCUAAACCAGAAUCGCAGUGGAGUCCUGCAUGUAUCUUAUCACCUGUGACAUUAGAGGUAGUUAGGAGUCCCAACUGAGUAUCUUUUUGGCAGUACAAAAUGCAGAUCCCAGAACUGCCAGCUUUCAGUACCAAGUUCUUGCAAAUUCUCUGCUGUUUGAGAUCAAGCUGGUAGACUUGCCUACAGUAAAAUCUGUUGUUGUUCUUCAGUAGUUGGUUUCUACUCAGCAGAAAGGAGUUUUUCUUUCUUUUUCCCCCUGAGCACAAGCUACUGCCAAGCUUAUGCUGCAUGAAACGAGCAUAAGGCUCAGCUUCCAUACUGUGCUGAACUAAAACUAAACUCAACUAAAAGCAAGAAAUGUACUCACUGUCUGGCAUUAAGGACAAAGUAUCCUGUCCCAAACAGGAUGUGCUGAUAUUUCUUAUAUAUACAGAAGAGUCAGGGGAUUUGGCUUAUCUUAAAUCCCAUACAUAAAUGGAGACAAGUGUCAAUCUUAUUAAUAUAAAACAAAUCCUGUUCAAAUAUUGCACCUGCAUAGGCUACUAGAAUGCCAUCACUGUGCAUUUCCUUUAAAUAUAGGACAGAACACUCAGGUGGACUAUUUAAGAGGAACUGCAAAAUAUUCUUAUAAAUUCUAGUCUACAGAUUCUGGUUGUGGCAAAUUGAUUUUGCAACAAAGUUUUCUUGCCAUUUUGUCUUAGGAAAAAAUGUUAGUGUAAGCGUUUAUGAUUUGCUUUCAUAUUUUCUGUCAAAUAUAUACUUUAAUAUUUGUUCCACAAAUAAAUCUGGAAAACUUAUUGGAAAGUGAAGAUUUUAAGACAACCUCAGGCCACAGUCUAAGUUAAGCUUUUCUUUCCCCUAUACUGUUUAGCAUUUUUUGAUCUGUGACAGAGAACAUGAGGUGCUGGGUUACGCAGCAAGACUUCUGGAAAGGAAUAAGACCUGUGAAUGCAAAAAUUUAAAUAGCUGCCCAACAGAGGUAUAUUGGAUUUGUUAUUUUACUUCCAGUUAGACAGUCAUGCACCUCUUGAUCCUUAAGUCUUCUCUGCCUCUAAACAUACAAUUCAAGCUUUUAAACAUUGAAAUACAAGGCCUCAGCAAGCAUCCUGCACUCCUAAGUUGAUUGUCACACAGGGUACAGUUCUGAACUACGGCUAGAGCCACAGAUGAGGGGGUAACUGAUGAAAUGGAGGCCAGUUGCUGUAAGGGAUUUUAAGAGGAUUUACACAUUUUCUGAUUCAUUAAGGGAAGACCACUACAAAGAAAUGACUUUUAACUCUCUGUCAGCAGUGCAGCAGAAUAACUGGAUAUAGCCUCUUCAGAAGUUUUAACGUUCUCUUUACUUAUGCAUUGCAAAGCCUUUUCUGUGUAUUCCUUUAAAAAUCCUACUUUAAAGCUCCACACAAGACCCCAUGAUGCUGCUGUUUAUAGCUCAGGUUGAGACACCCCUCCCAGUUUAUUUUUUUUCAGGAAGACACAGGUUAGACCUUGGUUAACCCAAUCCCUUAUUCUCAGACUCAGUGAGAGGUAGUACCAUGGAUGAACGGUAUCAACAGCUUCUAUCCCAUCUGCCCCAUGACACUGCAAGUGUCCUGUAACUACUUUGUACAGUAAUUAUGCACUUAACCACACAAUCUCCAUGGUGUUUGAACAGCCAGCUAUUUAGAAUUAAGUUUGUGUACAUAUAGUAGAGGUUUUCAUUGUUUCAAAAAGGACAUAUAAAUUGUUUGACAAUACCAAAGAGAAGCAGAAUUCCUAGGUUAACAUUUGCUUCAUACAUUCUCAUAUCAGGGCAGCUGAAGUGAUCACGUAUACUUUGAUACAGCAGAGGCUUAUUUUUAUACCCAUGGAGGCAGCUACCAUCAUGUUACACUUCAGAAUCCUUUAAGAGCUCCAACAGAAAAGUAACUGGAGAAAGCUUGUUCAUUGGCUUGUAAUCCAUAGCAAUGUUUGUUCAUUUAAAAGUCUGUCAUAUUUAUAAUUAUGGCUUUUAUGAAGUUUAAAAUAAAAUGAGUUUUCCAUUAAUUUAUUACAGACACACAGUU